CUUUUCUUUUCCCACAUCUCAAACCAAGCUCCAGCCACAUCUCUAAGCUGGUAAGCAGCCAGCUUCACAACUUCAUCAUCAAAUUCUUUCAUCACUCGAAGGGCUUUCUUGACACCCUCUAGCCACAACAUUGGAUCUUCAUCAACUAUAAAGCCAUGGAACACUAGAUGACUCAACUUCAAAAAUUCAUUCACUCUUGAGGACUCAGAAUUAUUCUGUCUAUUUGACUGAGGUAGAAUCUCAUCUCUUCUAUUCUUCUGGUUGGCCAUAAAAGCUUUAAACAUCUCCAUAGCACUGUUGGCAUCAUUAAACAUCUUACCCAUCUCGGGAGAUAUAGUUCCCUGAGCCGGAGGUGUUGUUGGGG
rnacentral:lncRNA from 1 species